GCUCAAUGUUGCCCAUCACAGCGGUUGUUAGAGGAAGCUCACCGACUGGGAACAAUGAGCUCUUCAUUCCAGAAACCCAGAAUAGGUGUGGGCUUGCUUGUUUUGCAUGUUUAUCUAAAACAUACAUCAACUACACUGCCAUCCCGCUCUGUAGUUUAUUCACUUGGAAGCAGACGUGGAAAGUAGUCGGUGAGCUGUCACUGAACACAACACCACUCGGGGAAGAUUGUCGCCAAGACUGAGGAGGUUGUAGGUGGUCACAUCUCCCUCCAUCUCAGACAGCAACAUCACUACACAUCCAGAAUGCCACCUGGUGAAGUGAGGCUUCUGUUGCUGAUUCUGGGCUCUCUGGCCACAGACUCCGCACUCGGUGACCCGUGUGUGACCCACACCGUCCUGGAUCAGCCCUGGAGGAGCACGGAUUGUUCCAACACUGAGUGCAGCGCUGGGACAUGGAUGGAUGAUAGAAAUCUUGCAGUGGGAUGGUACA